GAUGAAGAACGCAGCGAAAGGCGAUAAGUAAUGUGAAUUGCAGAAUUCAGUGAAUCAUCGAAUCUUUGAACGCACAUUGCGCCCGUCAGUAUUCUGGCGGGCAUGCCUGUUCGAGCGUCAUUACGCCCCUCAAGUCCCCUGUGGACUUGGUGUUGGGGAUCGGCGAGGCUGGUUUUCCAGCACAGCCGUCCCUUAAAUUAAUUGGCGGUCUCGCCGUGGCCCUCCUCUGCGCAGUAGUAAAACACUCGCAACAGGAGCCCGGCGCGGUCCACUGCCGUAAAACCCCCCAACUUUUUAUAGUUGACCUCGAAUCAGGUAGGACUACCCGCUGAACUUAAGCAUAUCAAUAAGCGGAGGA
rnacentral:misc_RNA from 1 species